rnacentral:rRNA from 1 species
AACGAACGCUGGCGGCAUGCCUAACACAUGCAAGUCGAACGAGACCUUCGGGUCUAGUGGCGCACGGGUUCGUAACGCGUGGGAACCUUCCCUUAGGUUCGGCAUAACUCCCCGACAGGGGUGCUAAUACCGGAUAAUGUCUUCGGACCAAAGAUUUAUCGCCUUUGGAUGGGCCCGCGUUGGAUUAGCUAGUUGGUAGGGUAAAAGCCUACCACGGCGACGAUCCAUAGCUUGGCUGAGAGGAUGCUCAGCCACACUGGGACUGAGACACGGCCCAGACUCCUACGGGAGGGAGCAGUGGGGAAUAGUGGAAAAUGGGCGAAAGGCUGAUCGAGCAAUGACGGGUGAGUGAUGAAGGCAGUAGGGUUGUAAAGCGCUUUUAACCGGGAUGAUAAUGACAGUACCGGGAGAAUAAGCUCCGGCUAACUCCGUG